UGUGUUUCAAUUCGUGGAGUUUGAAAUUGGUAUGAGCAUAUGGUGCCACUGGUUCUCGCAUCUAAGUAGUAGCAUUCCAUUCAUGAGAUCAUAUCUAAACAUGUUUAUUAACUCCAGAAAUUGCUUUCUUUGUUAUAACAUAUGUGAGUACUAGUCUUCCAUGUUUACAUCAUUCUGCUCACAUAUAACUAGUGUAAGGUGUGUAGUCAGAAAAAAUGUGUGAAAAUAGAGAGUAUCUUGUAAGGAAUUGAGCAAAUUCUCUAAGGCAUGUUACUACAUUCAAAAUAUCGUUUUAAUUGGUUAAUUGCGAACUAGUAAGUGGUGACUGUAAUUAAGUAUGUGCUCAAGUGUGAAGAUGACUAAAAGUUGUGGGAAUGAUGAUUUUUAACAUGUCAUGUGCAUUGGAAAUCCCUGAGGCAAAUGUUGGAAGGUUAAGUUGUGUUCUGUUUGUUUUGAUUCGUUUGUUUCUUUUGUUUU
rnacentral:lncRNA from 1 species